AGGCCUAUGAUUUUAUUGGAAAAACCUCGGCUCGGCCGGCAGUCAUUUUGAGAUUGAAAAAAAAAUGGUGCCCCAGUCUGCGCACCCAUUCACUUUUGCACGUGAUUUGGAGAUUUUGAUGAGAAAGGCUGCAUUUUGAGGCUGUCAUAAGAAAUACCCAAAUUUCAUUAUUUUUCCACCUUUGUGAGUCGGAUUUUGCAAUAAAUAUCUGUCUAUGCAUUAGAUGUGUAAAGUUUGCAUUGCGUAUCUUAUAGAUUCUACUAGAAUUGCGCAGAUACGCAUGUGCGCAGACUAUGGUACCUUGAGCGAAGUUCGUGCAGGAUCCACUCCACUUAAUUACCACUAGGGCCUACACCAUGCUCCACUUACACGAACUUCGAGACCAUGAACUCGAUCUGAUAUUCUGAGUGACAAAAGGUGGGAUUUUAUGGGGGUGAAAUAUGAAAUUCAUGCAACAUCACGAUCUUUACACAAAGUUUCACUUCUUUCCAUGCUUCUAUUAGUAUUAGUCUCAAAAUUGGUGAUUUGAAUUAUAGCCUACAUGAACUGUGAUGAAGAUCCUCACACAUAAAUAAUUCACUGCCGAUGAUCGCAUGCGGAUGCGAUAUGCGCGAGGUACCGGGUCCGGUACAAGCUCGGACCGGGCCGUCCUCAAGCACAUAGCCUACGUGUAAUGUAGGCCUGGCUAGAUCUAUUUCUAGUCAACUUUAUUCAAUUUUGUACGUCUACAUAUGUGUAUGUUAAACCCCAUUAAAAUCUAGGUCUAUACUAUAGGUCCAAACCUAGAUCUAAAUCCUGGCCUAGCUUGGCCAAUAGUCCCUUAUUAUUGGCCAGCCUAGCGAGGACAGGCCUACAUGCAAAUAGCAACAGAUCUAAAUGUUACAUUGUAAUUGCAGAUGUAUGUACAGUUUGUGAAUGAUCAGAAACUAAUUUUGAAUCUGAGAUACAGGAAUUACAUUUAGGUUGACUUCAUGUAAAUUCCCCACUGUGCACAGGGGAAUUUUUUAUUGAGAAUUUCUACAAUUUAUCCACUUAUUCCAUCAGUUCUCUAUAGAAUAGUCAGAUAACUUGUGUAAUAAUUAAUGUUACUAUUCUUGAUCUUUGAUUCAUGUUUAUCACAGUUAAAUGUUGCAGAAAAUGAGCACGAAGAAGACACCUACUGGAUGCAAUAUUACUCAUCACCUGACAACAUUGUUGUUAAUGUGACGAACCUCGGUACCGAGAUAUGAGUUGACUAGAGGAAACCCGCGACCAAGCACAGCAGAAAUUCUUGACAAAUAUCUACAGCUUUUGGGAAUGAUUGAUCAAGACUUUGAUUUAACAAUUGAUGCAGCUCCUGGUGCCCUUUUCACCAUGUGGCCAAAGUUGUCCAGGCAGACUUUGGAAUUUGCGGAGAAGAUUAAUCCAGGGUAUAGAAAGAUCCUAGGGGCUGGAGUGGACCAGAAAAUGACGCAGAGUCAACAAUGAAGAAAAUUUGGCUUUCAGUACUUCCUGGGAUUUUGAUCGGCAGAACGAAAGGGGAAUGAGGCAAAUUAAAUGUGCCGUACUUCAAAGUCUUGAAUCUUUCAUCAAUCUCCAAUUAGAAGGAGCAUGAAGAAAAAGAAGAUGAACAGGAAUUGACAAUGGCGCGUUCCAUACCUGGGAGUGAUUGCACAGUGGCACCCUUGGACCUAAUUUCACCCG
rnacentral:lncRNA from 1 species